rnacentral:lncRNA from 12 species
AUCAGACAGUGAUGGAGCUCAGUGUGGAGAAACAAAUCUCCUUUUUCCAUUCUGCUGAAGCCCGAUUUGUUCACGUUUGUGUAACUGCACAAACCAAUGGCCAUUCAUCAGAUCAAUUCUCCUUCAGCGACGAGGAUCAUCUCUUCGCUGACUCUACUGCAAAGAAGAAGCCGUGGAAGAAGCUCCAGCUCUGCUCACCGCUAUAUAAGAAGCCGAGGCAGUGACGUGACGCGAUCUCUGCAGGCAUCCGGCAUCAGGAGCGUAAGAGCAAAUUUCUAAAGAGCAAAUUUUCAGCGCAUAUUGUUUCAAAUGUUGCUCCGCAAGUGUGGCUCGUGCAGGGUGCUACUGCACGAUGAAGAUGGACACAGUGAGUGCACCGCCUGUCUUGGCCGCGCCCACACAGAGGUUGCACUCGCUGGUGGCUCGUGCUCUUUCUGUGAGAGCAUGAGCCUCUCUCGUCUACGCUUGCGGGUCGCCUCGUUUCAUCAAGGCGAACCCCCCGCCGCCAGGCGGUCCUGUUCUUCUCCUCUCCUAAGAGGAAGAAACAGUGGGGCAGUGGAUCUCUCUCAGCGGGCUCGAGCCGUGUCACGUCAGCUCAGCGCCUGCGUGCCCCGCCCUCCCCGUGUCCUCUCACUCCGAUGUGCUUCACAAGUGAGGACCAGCGCCCCUCUUCGGCUGCGAGCGGACUGGUCUCAUUCGGCGCGUCUGAAGAGGACGUUAUUAUCGAUGAUGUCACCGCCGAUGACUCUGUAUCCUUGGCGGCGUCAGAAACAGACGGAUGAGCCCGCUCAUGGCUUACUGGACGAAUGGUUGCUGCCAGAGACCCGCCAGCAAUCCUCUCACCAGUGCCCAGCCCCGUUCUUGCCAGCCGUCCACGACAAGCUCACCAAGACGUGGCGCACCCCCUACUUGGCACGGGUAAACCCCUCGACUGCAGCAGCUCUCACCACCAUUGAGGGCGCUGACGAAAGGGGGUAUGCCAAACUUCCCCCUCUGGAGGAAGAGAUCGCUGCACAUCUAUCCGCCCUCGGCUUUAAGGGCCA